rnacentral:rRNA from 1 species
AUGCCCCUUCCCCGGGACGCGGAGGCGGAGGCCAGGCGGAGGCGGAGGCGGAAGCGGGAUCGCGAGGUGUUUCCGCCGGGGCGCCGGGGCGUGGAUAGGGAGCCCGACGGGGAGAGAGGGGAGAGGCCGAAUCGUCGGUUCUUGGAUGGCAAGCACGACAAGCGCCGCCGCGUUUCAAAGAUCAAGAGAGUACCGAACUUCCGCGGCCGUCCCUCCAUCGUAUCCAAGUUGUUUCCCUCUCCCUCUGCUCUAGUGCAGUACUUCCCCAGCCACUACCUCAGCUCAUCCGAGGAGUCCUCGUCCUCUGCCUCCGCCCUGCCGGAGUCUCCCGGCUCCUCUGCCCUACCCAAGUCCUCCAGCUGCGCCCCCAGCUUACCUGAGGAGUCAUCUGCCCAUGCCCUACCGGACUCCCCCAUCUUACCUGAGGAAGAGCCCUCUGCCGCACCCAACUCCCCCAGCUUACCCGAGAAGGAGCCCUCUGACUUACCUGAGAAAUCGCCGUUACCUGAGAGGGAGCCCUCCGACUUACCUGAGAAAGCGCCCUUACCUGUGGAGGAGCCCCCUGACUUACCUGACAAAGAGACAGGCUCCAGCUCUGAUGGAGGAAUCUGUGAUGAGAUGGCAGAAAGAUUCCAGCAAAUUAUGGAGGAUUAUGCUACUAAUUAUGACCUCUAUGCUCAACAAAUUCGAGGAGAACCAGAGGAAUGUAACCUUACGGUGGAGAGUGAGUUCUGUGACAUUGAUGAUGGCAGUUCCCGUGGUUGGAAAGCUCGGAAAGUGGCUAUGCGAGCUUCAGAGUCAGUUGUUAGUCUUUCUUCCUUUUCAGAUGAAAAGAGGAUAAGAGUGGGCUCGGGAUUCAUGGUAGGGUUUAAUCGUCAUACCAAUACCAGCAAUAUCUUAACUUCAGCAACGCUGGUUAGGUCUCUUUGUGGGCAGAACAUUGUGAUUCCAGAUUUAAAGGUUGAGGUGUGUCUCCCGAAUGGGCAUAUAUCUGAGGGCUUGUUAUCCAUUGUUGAUUUUCACUAUAACAUAGCUAUUGUUGAAGUGAAAUCUGAUGAGGAACUGCCACGGCCUAUUCUUCUGUGUAAUGUCAUCAAAAGAGGAGCAGUGUUAGCAAUUGGACGAUUUUAUGAUCAUGGUGGAGUGAUGUGUGCACAAGGAAAAAUCAGAAAAGAAACCAGCACCUUUGACUGCUCAGAGCUUUUAGUAUCGAGCUGCCACACGACCAUGGCGGGUGUUGGAGGGCCCCUUGUAGAUUAUAGUGGUCAUGUCGUGGGUAUCAAUUUCUACGGAGAGAAACACACCCCUUUUCUUUCAUCAGCGAUUAUUAUAAGAUGCUUGGAUCAUUGGGCGUCCUGGGGACAAGUUAACCGACCAUGGCUUGGAUGCAUCUGCACAUCUGUUGAUAUGUUGCCACUUCGUGUUUUGGAGAAAUGCACCUAUCUUAACGAGGGUUUGUAUAUUUCAGAUGUUGUUAAGGGAUCACCAUUUGAUGUUGCUGGGCUAUCAGCUGGUGAUGUUUUGAUUGAAUGUGCUGGAGAAGUACUUAGUACUGCUGCCCAGUUAGGUGCACUGCUACUUGAUCUGUGCCACAAAUAUCUGAGGGGUUAUGUUGAGAGCAAGAUGACCGUGGAGGUUGUUGUCUGGAAGCAAAAGGAUGGCAGAAAAUCAAGGAAGAUAGUGAAAACCAAUUUAUUAAGCCACUGCAACUUUUACAGAUGGCUUGAUCCAUUGCCCAGGUACAACGAUAAGAAGAUGGUGAUGGCAAGGGACGUUAUGGAGCUUUAUUAUAAAGUCCUUGCCCAAGGAGCAAGAUUCACAAUGAAGCCGUGA